rfam:Nelumbo nucifera unplaced genomic scaffold scaffold00067, whole genome shotgun sequence
AGCCGCGCGGUGAACACAGAGCGAACUAUUCUUUCGCCUUUUACUAAAGAAUAUCGUGUGUUCGCCGCAUUCAGCGGCAUACGCUUAUUUUUGGAGGGUUUUUUCCGUUUUCUGGAAAA